UCAAAAAUAUUGAUUUUGAGCCAAGUUAUGGCCGUUUGAAGUUGGUGGCCUAGGA
ensembl:ncRNA Y53H1C.11 ncRNA